rnacentral:rRNA from 1 species
GAUGAACGCUGGCGGCGUGCCUAAUACAUGCAAGUCGAGCGAAUGGAUUAAGAGCUUGCUCUUAUGAAGUUAGCGGCGGACGGGUGAGUAACACGUGGGUAACCUGCCCAUAAGACUGGGAUAACUCCGGGAAACCGGGGCUAAUACCGGAUAACAUUUUGAACCGCAUGGUUCGAAAUUGAAAGGCGGCUUCGGCUGUCACUUAUGGAUGGACCCGCGUCGCAUUAGCUAGUUGGUGAGGUAACGGCUCACCAAGGCAACGAUGCGUAGCCGAGCUGAGAGGGUGAUCGGCCACACUGGGACUGAGACACGGCCCAGACUCCUACGGGAGGCAGCAGUAGGGAAUCUUCCGCAAUAGACGAAAGUCUGACGGAGCAACGCCGCGUGAGUGAUGAAGGCUUUCGGGUCGUAAAACUCUGUUGUUAGGGAAGAACAAGUGCUAGUUGAAUAAGCUGGCACCUUGACGGUACCUAACCAGAAAGCCACGGCUAACUACGUGCCAGCAGCCGCCGCAG